rnacentral:lncRNA from 1 species
GAGGAAUGACAACCUAAGCAUUAAAAAUGGAUCAUUCUCAUGACAUUCUACAAAUAUAAUACAUACACAUCUAGUUAGGAGCAUUUGAUUCAUUCUGAUCAUGUCAUCCUAAACACUAGGCGUAAAUAGAUCCUAUCUUCCUAUAUUGGUAGAAAGUGGACCGAAGAUGCCGAUCUUGUCUUCCCAUAUUGGUGGCAAAGUAGAUCGCAGAAAACAGAUCUUGUCUUCAUGUAUUGGCGUGAAGUAGAUCGAAUGUAGCAGAUCCUAUCUUCCUAUAUUGAUAGGAAGUGGAUCCAAGAUGCAGAUCUUGUCUUCCCAUAUUGGUGGCGAAGUAGAUCGCAGAAAGCAGAUCUUAUCUUCAUGUAUUGGCGUGAAGUAUAUCGAAGGUAUCAGAUCCUAUCUUCCUAUAUUGGUAGGAAGUAGAUCGAAGAUGCAGAUCUUGUCUUCCCAUAUUGGUGGCGAAGUAGGUCAAAGAAAGCAGAUCUUGUCUUCCCAUAUUGGUGGCGAAGCAGAUCGAAGAAAGCAGAUCUUGUCUUC